rnacentral:rRNA from 1 species
UACGUAGGGUGCGAGCGUUGUCCGGAAUUAUUGGGCGUAAAGAGCUUGUAGGCGGUUUGUCGCGUCUGCCGUGAAAAUCCGGGGCUCAACCCCGGACUUGCGGUGGGUACGGGCAGACUAGAGUGUGGUAGGGGAGACUGGAAUUCUCGGUGUAGCGGUGAAAUGCGUAGAUAUCGAGAGGAACACCUGCGGCGAAGGCGGGUUGCUGGGCUGACACUGACGCUGAGGAGCGAAAGCGUGGGGAGCAAACAGG